UCUCCGUAGGUGAACCUGCGGAGGGAUCAUUACUGAGUGAGGGCCUUCGGGCUCGACCUCCAACCCUUUGUGAACACAACUUGUUGCUUCGGGGGCGACCCUGCCGCUUCGGCGGUGCGGCGCCCCCGGAGGCCAUUAAACACUGCAUCAUUGCGUCGGAGUUAAAGUAAAUUAAACAAAACUUUCAACAACGGAUCUCUUGGUUCUGGCAUCGAUGAAGAACGCAGC
rnacentral:misc_RNA from 1 species